rnacentral:rRNA from 1 species
GCGUUGUCCGGAAUUAUUGGGCGUAAAGGGCUCGUAGGCGGUUUGUCGCGUCGGGAGUGAAAACCAUGGGCUUAACUCAUGGCUUGCUUCCGAUACGGGCAGACUAGAGGUAUGCAGGGGAGAACGGAAUUCCUGGUGUAGCGGUGAAAUGCGCAGAUAUCAGGAGGAACACCGGUGGCGAAGGCGGUUCUCUGGGCAUUACCUGACGCUGAGGAGCGAAAGUGUG